CCUACGGGAGGCAGCAGUGGGGAAUAUUGCACAAUGGGGGGAACCCUGAUGCAGCGACGCCGCGUGGGUGAAGGAGUAUUUCGGUAUGUAAAGCCCUAUCAGCAGGGAAGAACAAUGACGGUACCUGACUAAGAAGCACCGGCUAAAUACGUGCCAGCAGCCGCGGUAAUACGUAUGGUGCAAGCGUUAUCCGGAUUUACUGGGUGUAAAGGGAGCGCAGGCGGCGCGUUAAGCCUGGUGUGAAAGCCCGCGGCCCAACCGCGGGACUGCAUUGGGAACUGGCGCGCUGGAGUGCCGGAGGGGUAGGCGGAAUUCCUAGUGUAGCGGUGAAAUGCGUAGAUAUUAGGAGGAACACCAGUGGCGAAGGCGGCCUACUGGACGGUGACUGACGCUGAGGCUCGAAAGCGUGGGGAGCAAACAGGAUUAGAUACCCCAGUAGUC
rnacentral:rRNA from 1 species